rnacentral:rRNA from 1 species
ACACAUGCAAGUCGAACGAAGCGCUGCGGAUAGAGACUUCGGUCAAUUGAAGCUUUGACUUAGUGGCGGACGGGUGAGUAACGCGUGAGGAACCUGCCUUUCAGUGGGGGACAACAGUUGGAAACGACUGCUAAUACCGCAUAAUGUGUUUUGGGGGCAUCCCCGGAACACCAAAGAUUUAUUGCUGAAAGAUGGCCUCGCGUCUGAUUAGAUAGUUGGUGGGGUAACGGCCUACCAAGUCGACGAUCAGUAGCCGGACUGAGAGGUUGAACGGCCACAUUGGGACUGAGAUACGGCCCAGACUCCUACGGGAGGCAGCAGUGGGGAAUAUUGGGCAAUGGGGGAAACCCUGACCCAGCAACGCCGCGUGAAGGAAGAAGGCUUUCGGGUUGUAAACUUCUUUUACCAGGGACGAAGGACGUGACGGUACCUGGAGAAAAAGCCACGGCUAACUACGUGCCAGCAGCCGCGGUAAUACGUAGGUGGCAAGCGUUGUCCGGAUUUACUGGGUGUAAAGGGCGUGUAGGCGGGAGAGCAAGUCAGGAGUGAAAUCUAUGGGCUUAACCCAUAAACUGCUUUUGAAACUGUUCUUCUUGAGUAUCGGAGAGGCAGGCGGAAUUCCUAGUGUAGCGGUGAAAUGCGUAGAUAUUAGGAGGAACACCAGUGGCGAAGGCGGCCUGCUGGACGACAACUGACGCUGAGGCGCGAAAGCGUGGGGAGCAAACAGGAUUAGGUACCCUGGUAGUCCACGCUGUAAACGAUGAAUACUAGGUGUGGGAGGACUGACCCCUUCCGUGCCGCAGUUAACACAAUAAGUAUUCCACCUGGGG